rnacentral:rRNA from 1 species
UACGUAGGAGGCAAGCGUUGUCCGGAAUUACUGGGCGUAAAGAGCGUGUAGGCGGCCAGGUAGGUCUGCUGUGAAAACUCGAGGCUCAACCUCGAGAUGUCGGCGGAAACCAUCUGGCUAGAGUCCGGAAGAGGAAAGCGGAAUUCCUGGUGUAGCGGUGAAAUGCGCAGAUAUCAGGAAGAACACCCGUGGCGAAGGCGGCUUUCUGGGACGGUACUGACGCUGAGACGCGAAAGCGUGGGGAGCGAACAGG